rnacentral:ncRNA from 1 species
GUCAGAGUAGGAAAUAGUGCGUAAAGUGCCGGAUGGAUGGGAAGUUGCCGCCGGACGAAAAACCAUGAAAGGUUUGCGGUACUAUUUCUGCGUCCGCUGCC